UUUUCGCGGUGAAUCCUGUUA
rnacentral:piRNA from 1 species